rnacentral:lncRNA from 1 species
UAAACCAACAACAAAUGUGUAACUGCACCAUUGUUGUUGACCUUCAUUAAAGUUCCCAUAUCCCUUUAAUUUCUCCCAUAAUUUGGAUGUGUCCCAUCAGUUUAAAGAACAUCCAACUUUCUGUAGUGACAAGAAGGAGAAAAGCCCGUAUGCACCGCUGCCAUAAGAAGUUGGAGAAUGACUGUUUUAACUUAUAUUUAAGUUAUCAUUCUUAGUCGAUUUUGUUCCACUGAGCUACUGCAAGAGUAAUAAAUUUGAGACAUUAAUUGUUGAAGCAGUCAAAUGGGAAUAUUUACAAAAACCUAGUAUAAUUUAUGAAAGAUACCAACAUAUUCAUACAAUUAAUGUAAGAAAUUAACGGGUGUAUGUUUGGAUUCACGUUUGAAAUUGACAUAUUCAGGCAAGAUAAGAUAGUUUUGGACAAAAAGUACACUUAUCCAAAUUACACUUAUGUUUGAUAUAUAUGUGGAUUUGUCAAAACAACAUUGUGAAUCGGGUGUAAUUUUAAAAAAUAACUCUUUAUAGUUUUUGCAAAGUCACAGUGACAUCAUGAUUUUGACAAGUCCACCUUAUACCAAAUAUGCACAAUUUUUUUUUUUUUUUUUUUGCGUUGAAUAUGCACUUAGUAGAACAAUUUGUCAUUUAUGUGAAAUUUUUGGCCAUAAUGAAAAUCUAAACAUACACCCAGUGUGAAGAGCCAUUGUGAGACAACAAAUAAGUGACCAAACUAAAAUUUCCUCAAAAAAAAAAAAGCGAUAAAUCUUAAUUUUUUUAUUUCAUGUUGCUCUAUUUUUAGUAUAGUAUAGUAUAGCUAGUUGAAUAUGGCAUCAAACAUGCCCCAUAGACCAUAGUAAAUGAAUAAUUUCCAAGAGUAAAACAAUGACAAUGUCCUCGUAAUGGAAUCCAAGGUCGUGGUAGGACACACGAUGGGCUGUUCUUAGCCAUUGAGGGUCGAUAGACCCACGGACACACCCCCACUACCUUUAUAUAUAUUGCUAUACCUACUACUCACCAGCAACCAACAAGUUUCAUCUCUUCUUAUCCAACAGCUUAGUACAUCACAACACGAUUAAGAUUUGACUAUACAACAAUAAUUGAUUAUUGACGUUGCAAAAAUCGAUUUAUUACUACAUUCACCACAAUCAUAAGUUAAUCACACAUCUCAUUUUGCAUCGGCAAUUCCGUUCCACGUAGUAUCACUAGAUCUCAACAUCGUAAUCCACGUUACAACUUACAAUAAUGCAAAACAAUUUUCCAAUUAAUCAACUGUAAUAAUAAAUUAAAAUUAAAAUUCCCAAAAGAAGCAAGAAAUCCUGUGAACAAGCCACGACACAAACAAACAAAAUCAAAAUCAAAAUCAAAAUCAAAAUCAAAAUCCAAAACCAAAAAACACAGAAAAAUUAAAUAAAUAAAUAAAAACAACCCACGUUCACUCACUCACCUUCAAACUCAAACUGUUACGUUAUACUUAUUCCAUUCCACUUCCUCUUUUACAAGC